UUCAUCUGUACCCGAGAGAGAUGCGUUAGAAUAAUUUCAAAAACCCAAUAUCAAAAGGUGUGAUCACUCCACUGAGAAGAACAUUUCAUCAUCAUUAUUUGAAACAGUUUGUAGUGGAACUCCAUUCACUCCAUGGACCCUGAAGGACAUAUGUACGACAAAAUGUGGCUUGAACAUCCACAGUAUAAUUGGUUCCAGCUGGAUGACUCAUUUAUGAAUGAGCUGCCUUCUUCACUGACUGUCGUGCUGCAGACUGUUCCAACUGAUGCAA